UACGGGGGGGGCAAGCGUUGUUCGGAAUUACUGGGCGUAAAGGGCGCGUAGGCGGCCGCCUAAGUCAGACGUGAAAUCCCUCGGCUCAACCGGGGAACUGCGUCUGAUACUGGGUGGCUUGAAUUCGGGAGAGGGAUGCGGAAUUCCCAGUGUAGCGGUGAAAUGCGUAGAUAUUGGGAGGAACACCAGUGGCGAAGGCGGCUACCUGGACCGGUUCUGACGCUGAUGCGCGAAAGCGUGGGUAGCAAACGGG
rnacentral:rRNA from 1 species